GGGGCGGCAGGCGGGGCCCAGGUGAGGAGCCUGCGCUGCCUGCCGGUGGAGAAGGAAGAAGGAAGAGUGGAGGCCAGGGCGGCGGUUGAAUCCUGGGCCUGACUCCCCUUCCUCUCCUCAGCACUCACUCUCUGGGGGUCAGGUGGCCUGGUGACAGGGUGAGCAGGGCCCAGGCCUGCCAGUCCUGUACUGCCCUGACCAGAGCCGGUGCGCCCCCUGCCGGCAAAGACAAAGAAAGACGCAGAGUGUUAUGUGAGAAUGCGCAGGCGCACUCCCCCCUCCCCGCAGCCAGGCCCAUGGAGCCUUGACUUUUGCUUCAGUAAUAAAAAUUUAUUGAGAAUU